rnacentral:rRNA from 1 species
UACGGAGGGAGCUAGCGUUGUUCGGAAUUACUGGGCGUAAAGCGCACGUAGGCGGCUUUUCAAGUCAGGGGUGAAAUCCCGGGGCUCAACCUCGGAACUGCCCUUGAAACUGGAAGGCUAGAAUCCUGGAGAGGCGAGUGGAAUUCCGAGUGUAGAGGUGAAAUUCGUAGAUAUUCGCAAGAACACCGGUGGCGAAGGCGGCCAACUGGUCCGAAACUGACGCUGAGGCGCGAAAGCGUGGGGAGCAAACAGGAUUAGAUACCCCAGUAGU